AUUGAACGCUGGCGGCAGGCCUAACACAUGCAAGUCGAGCGGAGCGGCAGACGGGUGAGUAAGGCCUAGGAAUCUGACUGGUAGUGGGGGAUAACGUACGGAAAGGGGCGCUAAUACCGCAUGCUAUCAGAUAAGCCUGGGUCGGAUUAGCUAGUUGGUGGGGUAAAGGCCUACAAAGGCGACGAUCCGUAGCUGGUCUGAGAGGAUGAACAGUCACACUGGAACUGAGACACGGUCCAGACUCCUACGGGAGGCAGCAGUGGGGAAUAUUGGACAAUGGGCGAAAGCCUGAUCCAGCCAUGCCGCGUGUGUGAAGAAGGUCUUCGGAUUGUAAAGCACUUUAAGUUGGGAGGCGUUACCAACAGAAGAAGCACCGGCUAACUUCGUGCCAGCAGCCGCGGUAAUAC
rnacentral:rRNA from 1 species